GCGAGUGUGGCGGAAUUGGUAGACGCACUGGAUUUAGGUUCCAGCGCCGCAAGGUGUGUGGGUUCGAGUCCCUCCACUCGCA
rnacentral:tRNA from 1 species